CUGGAGAGAAAGGGCUGAGGACUGGGAGGCUGCGGCGGCUGCUGGCUCCUACAGCCGCUAGCUCCAGAGGAGGCGCGGCCAGAGUCGCGGGGACGGUGCCACCAAGAGCGGGGAAGGUGCGGAGACCCUGGACCGCGCGCAAGAAAAAACGCGGCGGCCGCACAAGCUGUCACCUCCAACCUCUCCCCUCGCGGCUGCCUCUGCCAGAAGCCAGAGCCGGACUCACUGACAAGCCGCAGAGAGAAAGACACUGAGAGGGAGAUGAUUAUUAGUUGCGUUGAGUCAUCAGGCAAAGACCCCAAGGACUCGGCUUCCACCGGUUGCCUGAGCCACUAGUCCCCCUUAAGAAGUAUUGACUGUACGGCGGCGCCAGAGGGCCAAACUAAAUUCGGUUUCGGGAAAACGCGCUCGAGGCAAUUCUCUAAAUCCUGGCCUUGAGCUGGGCCAGUGGAGGUUGAAUCUGAGAGUAGAGCUGGAGACUGGGCUGCUAUCCACUUGCUUGGUAACCUACCCAAUUG
rnacentral:lncRNA from 1 species